rnacentral:rRNA from 1 species
GGACCCGCACAAGCGGUGGAGCGUGUGGUUUAAUUCGAUGCUAAGCGAAGGACCUUACCAAGGUUUGACAUGCUAAUGGUAGUGAAUUGAAAGAGGAACGACCACACUAUGUGUGGAGUUAGCACAGGUGGUGCACGGCCGUCGUCAGCUCGUGUCGUGAGGUGUUGGGUUAAGUCCCGCAACGAGCGCAACCCCUGCUCUUAGUUACCAGCGGUAAGGCCGGGUACUCUAGGAGGACCGCCGCCGACGAGGCGGAGGAAGGGGGGGAUGAAGUCAGGUAUCGUGCCCCUUAUAUCUUGGGCGACACACGCGCUACAAUGGGUUGGACAGAAGGGACCAAGACAGCGAUGUGGAGGAAAUCCUCAAACCAACCCCCAGUUCAGAUUGCAGGCUGCAACCCGCCUGCAUGAAGCCGGAAUCGCUAGUAAUCGCAGAUCAGCCAAGCUGCGGUGAAUACGUUCCCGGGUCUU